rnacentral:rRNA from 1 species
CCUACGGGCGGCAGCAGUGGGGAAUAUUGCACAAUGGGGGAAACCCUGAUGCAGCGACGCCGCGGGAGUGAAGAAUUAAUUCGUUAUGUAAAGCUCUAUCAGCAGGGAAGAAAAUGACGGUACCUGAGUAAGAAGCCCCGGCUAACUACUUGCCAGCAGCCGCGGUCAUACGUAGGGGGCAAGCGUUAUCCGGAUUUACUGGGUGUAAAGGGAGCGUAGACGGCAGUGCAAGUCUGGAGUGAAAGGCGGGGGCUCAACCCCCGGACUGCUCUGGAAACUGUACGGCUGGAGUGCAGGAGAGGUAAGUGGAAGUCCUAGUGUAGCGGUGAAAUGCGUAGAUAUUAGGAGGAACACCAGUGGCGAAGGCGGCUUACUGGACUGUAACUGACGUUGAGGCUCGAAAGCGUGGGGAGCAAACAGGAUUAGAUACCCGAGUAGUC